AACGUGUUAACUUAAUGGUAGAGUGUUGUGCUACGGACACAAAAAUACAAGUUCGACUCUUGUACGCGUUU